rnacentral:rRNA from 1 species
GACGUAGGGCGCAAGCGUUGUCCGGAUUUAUUGGGCGUAAAGAGCUCGUAGGCGGCUUGCCACGUCUGCCGUGAAAACCAGCAGCUUAACUGUUGGCUUGCGGUUGAUACGGGUUGGCUGGAGUUCGGUAGGGGAGACUGGAAUUCCUGGUGUAGCGGUGAAAUGCGUAGAUAUCUGGAGGAAUACCGGUGGCGAAGGCGGCGUUCUGGACUGCAACUGACACUGAUGAACGAAAGCCAGGGGAGCAAACGGG